rnacentral:tRNA from 1 species
ACUCUAAUAGUUUAAAUAAAACAUUGGUCUUGUAAACCAAAAACCGAAGAUCUACGAUUCUUCUUAGAGUU